rnacentral:rRNA from 1 species
AUGGGGGAAAGCCUGACCGAGCGAUGCCGCGUGCGGGAUGAAGGCCCUCGGGUUGUAAACCGCUGUCAGUUGGGAGGAAGGCUCCGUGAAGAGCGGAGUUUGACCUAUCUUCAGAGGAAGUACGGGCUAAGUUCGUGCCAGCAGCCGCGGUAACACGAACCGUACGAACGUUAUUCGGAAUUAUUGGGCUUAAAGGGUGCGUAGGCGGCGCUGUAAGUCGGGUGUGAAAUCCCACGGCUCAACCGUGGAAUUGCGCCCGAUACUGCAGUGCUUGAGGGAGACAGGGGUGAGUGGAACUGAUGGUGGAGCGGUGAAAUGCGUUGAUAUCAUCAGGAACACCGGUGGCGAAAGCGGCUCACUGGGUCUCUUCUGACGCUGAGGCACGAAAGCUAGGGUAGCGAAAGGGAUUAGAUACCCCUG